rnacentral:ncRNA from 9 species
CUAGCUCAGAUGGUAGAGCGACAGACUCUUAAUCUGCUGGUCGUGGGUUCGAUUCCCUC